UCUCCUGACAGCUUUUUUAAUGCAGCCAUGGCACUACGACUCUCCCGACAGCCCAGUGUGGUGCAGCAGUACGGACAGACUGUGUGAUGUCUGUAAACAUUUGUGUUUGCUCUCAGCGGGAUAGAAAGGGAGUGAUUUCAUUAGCAUGGCUCGGAGCUUUGAGGUAUGUUUGUGUGCUUUUCUUCCAACCCGAUGGUAUAGUACUAAAACCAUAUGCCCUUAAGUGCGUACCUCUGCCUAAUGCAUGUGACAGCGCUGUUUUCUCUAAUUAAGUUCUCUCUGUGUGUCUGAUGCACAUUGUAGCACUCCAUCUCACACACACACACACACAGGCCUGCAUACAGACUGUAGUUAACAACAGGGGCCUGGGAGGAAAAUGAACAUGCUUCAGCUCUGAUUAUGCUUACAGUUGGGGACAGAGGGGAUUUAAACAAAGAUUAAGACUGUUUUAUAUUAUUAGAAUUUGCUCGCAGAAGCUCGGUUUGUCUUAAGAAGUCAAGCUAAAGAGAAGAUUUCAUUGUCACAGGCAGGUUUAAGAGUGAAGAGUUGAGGAAAAAAGCACAUAUAAACCAGAAAGUGUGUGUCUUUUGAUGCAAAAAAAGUGGAGUAAGAAGAAAGGUGCUGGUGCCUUAGUGUUCAUACGCCAUCAGUUGCACCGUAAGCACCAAUCCCCCACGGACCCCCUAACUUCUUCGCUCCACCAUGACAUCACAUUCCCUCGUCCCUCCCAGCCCCGCCUUGUCGGAAGCGAUGAGCGGGUGAGUCAGUUGGUUCUGAGGAGCCAUGUGAUUCGGGGCGACGUUGCUGCAAGUGCAGCAGGAUGGGCCAGGGCCUUUUUCAUUCAUUAAUCAGAUGUCCAAAACAGGGGGGCUGAAAGAGGGAGAAGGGGGAUGUCUGCUUGCAUGUGUCUGUGUUUGUGCAUUGUGUAUGUGUGUGUGUUUUUUUUUUUUUGUGCUCAUAUGGCUGCAAAACCUCAAAACAUGGCAGUCAGGCAAAGCGUUUUGCCUAUCGCCACAAGGCACCUGACACCACGCAUGGUGGACCCAGACAGUGUAACAGGGCCCAAAUUGGGCCUAGUGGGAGGAAGUGGAAGUGGAGGUGGAGGAGAGAGAGGCAGCACUGGAUGACAACAGUCGGAGUUGUUGUUAUACAAGAUGUCUUAUUUAGUGCUCCUAAGGCCCGCUAUCCCUCACAGGUGAUUUCUGUACGCCGCCUUGUUGGAGAUAGAUCUCAUGAUGUCUCAGUUUUGUUGCAAGACUUCCCCUCCACUUUGUAAAACCUGUCUUCCCUCCUCUUUUCUCCUCCUAACACGCCUCCAUGUUCCUCCCUCCCCCCUUUUCUUUUUCUACCGCUGCACUCAUCACUCUCACUCUUUCGCUUUUAGCUUGUUGUCUUGAUAGAGGAUCUGAGCUGACAAACGGGGGCAUCCGUUACUGUUGCACUGCCUAAUCUCUGUAAUGGUCCUCGCAGAUACAGGGCUGGUGUCGGGCAAACACACACAGACAUACACACACAUGAAAACACACCUCAACUAACUGGACAACUCAACUCUCAACAUGCAAAGCCCUGAGGUCAACAAUCAUCUAUGUGUUCAGCCUUUUGUGCUCACUACUCUCUGUACAGCUCUCUCUCACUCACACACACUCCCUACACACACACACACACACACAUGGCCCAGCACCCGUCUCCCUGUUCAGUACCAGCUGAGGAGCACCAUGGUUUUGUGGGGAGCAAGGGGAGCUCGUUAUCCUCAUUAAUUAAUGACAAAAGCGAUGUAAUUGGCCAUCCAUAAUCCUCCAUGCGGAGAAGGUGUGACAGGCAGGGCCGGGACCAUCGUCUACGGAGGGAGCAACUCAUAAACACACACGGAGAAAAUGAAGACACAGAUCAUCCUCUUUGUGUGUGUGUGUAGCUAAUGGUGCACUUAGCAGGGCUGGCUUGUAAUGACAAAGUGUUUCAAAAGGAUCCACGUGUAAAACUGGUUAUUCCCAAAGCUGUAGAGCGCUCCUACAAAAAAUGAAGAACAAUUCAAAGGAUGUCACAUGAUUUUUUUAAUUUUUGUCUUUUUUUGGCAUUUGAGUCUGCAACAUGCUGUACCCCCCCACCCCCCCUAUUUCCAAAUGAAAAGACAAGAUUAAUGGCACUUCCUGUCGCCGCCGAUCUCGUGCUAGCCUAAUUAAAACCAUUGGAACAUGCGCCUGGCCAAGGAUCAGUGGCUUUUAAUGAGGAGCUUGUAGGCUGAUUUGGGCCUCAUUUUCUGCUUAAUAAGGCCGGUUUAAAAAGUAAUUUUGGUGGGAUGUGACUCCUUUAAACCUGCUCAUUAUCAAUGAUAGCGCUUCACUUAAGUACUUCAGGAAACGCUGUGUUUAAUUAAUAUUGUGCCGCGCGUGUGGAUUAGCUGACAGGCUGCAAUGGUGCGAGCGCAAGCGAGUGAGCAAGGGAGCUAAAAUUGAUGAAGAACUUUCAAGGGCACUGAUUUCAUUAAGCAGCUUCAUUACAGCCCAAAUAACUCUUCAUGUCAUUUCGAUGCUUCAGUCCCUCACGCCGCACACACAAAGACACACGAAACAACCCCGUGCCAAAGGAGGAAGGGUUUUUACAUUUUAAGUGGAAGUUGGACAAUAACGUUUUGCUCCAGGCGAUCACCUGACGACACUUCAUCUCUCCCUGACAACAUGUUUUCUGUUUCUUGCGUGCGAUGCUAAUGUAGGGUAUCUACAUGUUUUUCAAUUUGUUUGCUACUUUUCAUUCGCAACGUCUUUCACAGCUUUUUCUUUUCAUAAACAGAGCUUUUAAGGUCAAGUAGUUUAAAGGCUUGAGAGUGCUGUAACAACUUUCACUGUGUGAUCCCAACAAUGAGGCUACAAAUGCUCUUACGGCCUCUUCAUCCCAUUGUGAUAAUCUUCUUAGCCCCCUGACUCCACUGUUCAAUAUGUAUGGAGCAGGAAAGAGCUGGACCUUAGGGGCUUUAAGAGUCCUGCAGCCGAGCCUCUCUGGGGAUUUUCUCUCUCCAGGACCAAUUACCACACAAACAGUUUGAGCAGUUUGCUUUAUGACAUGAGGAGUCCAUGUUACACCGAGAUGAGGUUUAGCGUACAUCAGUCAAUCGCUGCCAUCCUGCAGGUGAUUACUCGCAAUUCAUUUACUUUACCUUGCUGUACAUAAUCUGUUUUGAAUAGGUUGAAUUGUGCCAAUAAUCUCCUACAGCUCAAAACAAGUGAGUUUUACGGAGCAAAACAAGAUCAGGGGAGUCCUGUAUUGAAUUGUUUUCUGUAUAAGACAUGCCAGCUGGUUCAAUAGGUAGAACGGUGGGUUCAUUUAUCAAAGUUUAAGGUUCGAUACCCAGCAAUUCCUGUUGCUGUGAGUGCCUUACAUUAUAAGUUUGCUCGCUCCAUGAGUUUGGAUGUGUUAGAGAAAUCUCCUGUUUGUCCUUUUUUAUUUUAUUAUUUCCAUUAAGUGUGAAUUUUUUUAGCCCUGUCUUUAGAGCAGCAACAACAAAUUUGUUCUUCCUACAGGGACAACGAUUGACAAAUUUGACUCUCAUCAAUCCAGUAGUCAACCAAAUAUUCCUCAUUUAUUUACUUAUGUCAGCCUCAUAUAUUUGCACCAAUAGAGCAUUUAAGGGUGCUUCAGUAAUUAGGAUUCAUCAUCUGGGAACCAUGAAUGUUUGGACAAAUCUAUAAAAUUGAUCAAGUGACGAGAAAACUUCAACCUGCUUUCACUGUGAGGAAAAGGGGAGACGUUAAGAGUAUGUCUUCUGAGAACCAUGAAUGUCCGUACAACAUUUUGAGCCAAUCUGUCGAAUUGAUCUCAUAUUAUCUUAUUGCAUAUGAGAAACCUUCAACUUCCUGUUUUUGAAAGGGAGCUGUCGGAGGGUUGCGAGAAUGACAAAAAUAUCCUCUGAGGAUUAUGAAUGUCUGUCCAAAUUUAACAGACUUGAUACUGACAUCCCUGUCCCUGGGCUUCUCUUACAUGUAGAGCUAAAAAUCCCCAUUCAAGGGUAACUUCAGUAAUUAGGAUUCAUCAUCUGGGAACCAUGACUGUCUGGACAAUAUUUUAGGUUAACCUAUAAAAUUGAUCUAGUGACAUGAGAAAACUUCAACCUGCUUUCACUGUGAGAAAAAGGGGAGACGUUAAGAGUAUGUCUUCCGGGAACCAUGAAUGUCCAUACAACAUUUUGAGCCAAUCUGUCAAAUUAAUCUCAUAUUAUUAUAUUGCAUAUGAGAAACCUUCAACUUCCUGUUUUUGAAAGGGAGCUGUCGGAGGGUUGUGAGAAUGACAAAAAUAUCCUCUGAGGAUUACCAAUGUCUGUCCAAAUUUACCAGACUUGAUGCUGACAUCCCCGUCCCUGGGCUUCUCUUACAUGUAGAGCUAAAAAUCCCCAUUCAAGGGUUACUUCAGUAAUUAGGAUUCAUCAUCUGGGAACCAUGAAUGUCUGGACAAUAUUUUAAGCUAAUCUAUAAAAUUGAUCUAGUGACAUGAGAAAACUUUAACCUGCUUUUGUUGUGAGGAAAAGGGGAGACGUUAAGAGUAUGUCUUCCGUUAACCAUGAAUGUCCGUACAACAUUUUAAGCCAAUCUAUCAAAUUGAUCUCAUAUUAUUUUAUUGCAUAUGAGAAACCUUCAACUUCCUGUUUUUGAGGGGGAGGUAUCAGAGGGUUGUGAGAAUGACAAAAAUAUCCUCUGAGGAUUACGAACGUCUGUCCAAAUUUAACAGACUUGAUGCUGACAUCUCCGUCCCUUGGCUUCUCUUACAUGUAGAGCUAAAAAUCUCCAUUGAUUAAAAUAUGUAAAAAGAAAAAAAAAACAGGGGGGACCUUAUAAAUAAAACGGAUAAUAAAUAAAUGCUAACUUGGGCGGUGUGUCACGUGCCAGACAGGUUCAAAAACCCUUGUCUCGUAUUUAUUGUAAAUUAUUUUUAUCUUGUAAGCUGUGGCACAAAGGGAGAAGCUUCCAGAGAAGCUGAUCUGGAAUCAGAGGAAAGGACAGACAACCGAGGCGGGAGAGAGAGGGGGUAAUACAUGAAGUAAAGACGUUACAUUUCGGGGAAGAGAUAAAUUGGGAGAAAGAAAUGCUCACUCUAAUCUCCACAACGGGGACCUGCUUACAUUAUUUCGGACUUGUCUUGUUGAUAGUAUUCACACAGCACAACAUCCUAUCAGGUAAUAUCACAGUCUUUGAGGGAUUAGCGGGAAUAAGAGGGGUUUUAUUCUGUUUUGUGGAGGGGAUAAUUCCUUUGAAAUAUUCGAACAUUUUCAAACUAAUAUGGAAAUGGAUUUCAGCUUUUUAGUUUUUUUUCAUCCGGAGGUUUUGUUGGGACAGUGUGACAGUGGAGGGGAUGAUUUGAGUGAUUGAAAAAGAGAUGGAAACAAACACCGGUGCUGCACUGUAGGAGAAAAAAAAAGGAAGAACUGUCAUGCAACAAAAUUCAAUUAUCAAUGGGAGAGUGAACAUCCAGGCUUUUGACUCAAAUCACACUUUUUAACUUGAUACGCCACGUAUAAGAGUCAGCUUUGGGCAGCUAGUGCUAACGCCACAGUGGUUAAUACAGGGGCUGGAGAUAAGCCAUAGCUCCACUACCUUGUUAUUCCUUUUCAAAGGAGGCAAAUAAGAGGAUAAUAAAAGCCAGAUAUGAUCUGCGGCGAUGAGCAUUGUUCUCUGAUUGUUUUUGGUUCUGAGUCAAACAACAAAAAAACACCUCCUGUUUGUUUCACCUGCUGUAAACCCCGCUGUUUUUGUUUUGCUAAAAUGAAUUCAGAAAAGGCACGAAGUCAUAUGUGAGAUACACCAAACACUACCUAACACCACCUUGUUAAAAGACAAUAUUGUUCUUUAUUAAUCAAUUAACGUCCAUGCGAGUGUAUAUGAAUCACUCCUUAUCAGUGCUCCACUCGCCUUCCUGUGUUAUCUCAGCGGUGCAAUAGAUGGCCCACAGGUCCUCGUGUCUCAAGGUUGAUCAGCACAGUGGACAGACACCAGACAGCUGCCCAUCAGUCUCCGACUACAGAGCGGUCAUUAGAGCCUGUGUUUGUGUCGGGGUGUUUGUCAUUUACAGCUUUAAUUAGACACUGCUGUUAAUGGAGGCGAUGACUUUGGAGCCGAGGAUGAAUGACACUCUGUCAUCUCCGGCAGUAAGGCGACAAUAUGUUUCACUAAGAGCUGAGGAGGAGGAUGCUGCACCAGGAGAAUGGAGUUGAAGGGUGAAGGGAGGGUCAUAUUGUUGUUAUUUAUGAAUGGAUGGUUUCGCUGUGUGUGAAAGUGUGUUUACAUACAUGUGUGUUUGUUAAUGGAGCCCCAUACUGUAUCGCUGUUGGUCCAGGUCACCUGCAGCUCCCUCUGUUGUGUUAAGGAUUAUCACAGGAAGUGAAGUGGAGCAACAGUAAUGUGGAGCUCGCCUCUUACUGUAAGCCCGCCUAGGAGACUGUGACACACAAAAGCAAGAACACACACAAACGCAUACACAUUUUUGUGGUGUGUGAGUUACCCCUAAAACAAAACAUAAAGGGAAAAAUGAUUAAAAUUUAAAUCAAAAUGAUUGACGAAAGAGCUUCAACUGUGACAAUGCAUGAUUAUUAUGUUACAGCUUUAAUUUUAUAAGCCAUAGUUUUAGGGAACUGUGCCUUCACUAGAUAAGACAGCUGAAGAGAGACACAAAACUGGGCUAUGAACCAGGGACUGAUACAAUGAGGACUAUUGUCUGUGCAUGGGGAUAUGCAAAAAACACCAGUCCUUACUACGUUAAAGCUCAACAACCACAGCAGUUUCAGUGAACUUGAUGUUGUUCAAUAAUGAUAAUAAAAAAAUACAUAUUUCAGAGAUUAAAAACUUCUGAUUUCUUUUUUCUUCUUUUUUUCUCACCACAAUUAAAAUUCUGAAUCCUUUGAUUCACACUUUUUGGCCAAAUGAUGUGAUUUUGAUCGUGGCAUCCAAAAUUGAAAUGGAAUAAAAAUAUUCAGUACUCUUAUUUAAGCCUCAAGUGCCUGCAAGUUGUUUUUUUUACACAAUGAGAUAAACGGAAACUUUUGCAAACUUGGAUGACAUCUAACCAAAAACUUAAAAUUGGAAACAUUUUUUUCUUAAACAGAACAAAUCUUUGAGCUGUUUCAUAAGCAUACUACCAAACAAUUUCUGAUGUCAGCAUUUAAAAAAGUGAUUCUCUUCUUUGUCACGCUGGCGCAAUUUGUACCCGAUUAAAUAUGUUAUGUAUGUGAUAAAAUAUUAAAACAGUCACAGAAUUAACCCAUCAUAAAAAUGAUCACUUGGUGCAGCCCUAUUAAAAACUGAUUAAAUUGAACACUGGAGCUAAAAUUUUUAUUUGAUGUUUUCCUACAACAGAAAUCCCUUUUGCAUUUUUUAUGCUGUUGUUUAGCAAAUCACUCAUUUGCACAGGUGUGUCUGUGCUGCACAAUAAAAACAUGUUUUCUUCAAAACACGCCGUUCAUAAACAAAUUAAUUAAUCAGUUUUUGAGAAUUUAUAAAGCUAAAUGUCACUAAUCCAAUCCCAUCAAUUGUAAUCUUUCUCUAUUAAUAUUGCAAAACAAUAAAACAGUGUUUUGAGAUCCAAGCCUGGGAAUUACACGGGACACAUUUAUAUUAUCCCUUUAAGUCUGCACACACACACACACACACACACACACACACACACACACACACACACACGGACUUCUGAUCUUCCUUAUAAGGUGAACAUGGGAUUUCUGGUAAUGUCCAAGCUCCAUUUUCAUUUUAAUCACAGCAAUGGGAUCAGACAAGCUGGCAGGGCGGGCUCGGCCUGGCUUGGUUGAUUGUUCUGAUUGAGUUUUCUUUGUUUGGCAGAUAUGUAAUGCAGCCUGCUUAAGAGGAUUUGAUGAGGGAAGGAGGUUAUUGUGUGAUUUAAUCAUGUUCACAGAGGUGAACCUGCACUUGUACGCUUCCUGAACAAGGCCAAAAGUCUAGUAAAGGGACAAUUAAAUCCUACCGCUGGUAUUCAUAAAGGACUAGAGUGUAUGUCAGGACAUGUCAGUGCCGUCAUGAUGGGUGACGUAAUUUACUUUUAUUUUUUUAAAGGUUGUUUUUUUUAGGCAUAACUCCUUUACAAAAGAUGAACAUCUGGGCACAGGAGUUCAUGACAAUUUGUACCAACCUGUUUUACAAAUUGCAUCUAUGAUGGACUUUAUUCAGCAGCAUUCUCGGCAUGCAGCCGAGUCCUCAUUGCAGCAGGUAGAAGCAUGUGUCAUCACUUAAAUAAACUACCAGCCCUUGUUGAGUGUAAUUAACACACAUAUCACAUACAGCAGAUUUGAGGCUCACUGCAAUUCUUGACAAAGUGUCGGUGUACUCAGGCAAUCAUAUUCAACGGGAUGAGUUCCUUUUUGGCUCGGGUUUUCUCUUUUUAUUACUUGACUUCUCUUUUUAAAUCUGUUUUUUAGCUGCACAGGUUGAAGUGAAAGUGCUGGGUUCAUCAGGUCAGAUUUCUGGAUGGAUUGAGUUUGUUAUGGGUUGAACCUUUAACAUUUUUAAUGUGAUGUGAGCAAAGAUGGAUUAGUGAGAGAUACAUCCCUAGACAGAUAAUAGACAGAUUAAGGAUGACCAAAUGUCAGGAGGAUAAACGGUGCCAUGAACAAAGCACAAAAGGUGACAGCAUACAGAUACUUAAUCAUAUCAAAUUACAACAGUUUUUUAAGGUGAAUUUAGUAUUCAUUUUUACCCCUUCAGAGUUCAUUUUCUUUUUCAAAUGGGCAAAACAGAAAACAAGUUUUUAUUGUUUCAUCAAAGUAAAAAAUCCCUUUUGUUUGGAAGUAUAUAAUUGUUCUACUUUGGUAGUUUUUCAUACUUCUUUUAAAGCUAAAAUGCACGACAAAUGUGUCCACAAAGGUGUCACUGUUAAUGCACGACUCUAAAUAUGCCCCAUAAGGAUGUCCUGAUAUCUAACUGGUCUCGCCGUCUGCCACUGGGAGGAUUAAGCGGGCUGAGGUGGAGGGGUGACUUCCCCUUCCUCCUGAUGUUCACUCUCCCACCCACAUUCUCACUCUCUGCUCCUCAUAAUCACAGUCGACUAAAAUACAACAAUCAAAGCCGCGUAGAUUCAUCUGCAGCUUUUUCCAGCAUCGUGAGGAUAAAGCUAAGCGAAUGUGAAAUGUAAUAAAACGUUUUCUAAUAAAGUAUGUGUGUGAAUAAGAGCGCGAGAGAUAAGCCUAGCAUUAGCUUUGCUCAGUUUGUAGUUUUUCCACCAUCAGCUGCAGUAUUAUUUACAUGAGUCCCAGCAGGGGGUCUGCUGCUGAGCUGGGCCUUCAGCUGGUUACUGGAUGGUAUUUUGACAUGACAUUUUACUCUCAAUCGAGAGAGAUAAGACACCAGCGUGUAAAUUCCUCUUCCUGAAAUACCUGGAAAAACCUUAGAUGAACCUUGGAUUUUAAUGAUAAAAUUUUGAGAAAAACUGUGAAGUGGGUUUGGAUUUCCAGGACGUAAGCAUUACAUUAUUAAUACACAUUUUUAACUGUGUACCCUUAAUUACUCAAUCCUCUUAUGAACCCUUCAGUGCUGUAAAAGCAGGUCACCAUCAUGAGUAUGUAUAUGAGUGUGUGUGUGUGUGUGUUUGUUUGUGUGUGUGCGUGUGUACGUAAUGAAUAUCAUACGAAAAAUCUCUUGUAUGUGUGUGUGUCUAAUAUCCCCUGACACGCUGCCUCAGCACCCAAACACACGCAGAUACAUGACCUCAACAAAUAUUACCCAUCAGCCCCUCCUCCUCCUCCUCCUUCUUUGACAUACAACCAGGCCCAUCAGUUCAAAAUCCCAUUAGGAUAUUCUGUACGUUUAUAUACAUAUUAUUAUUAAAAAUUUUUACAUUAUCUGUACACUAUGUUUUCUGCAGAUACCAUUUUGUAGCAGUAUCUUUUAUCCUGAAUUGAAAAGCAAAUUAUUUUAGUUGUGAAUUAGAAAUGCACACCUGCAUGCAUGACGUUGCGGUACACCUGCAACUCUCCCAUUAAAGAAAUUUCUAAAAUAUUCUAACUUUUCAUUCACUUGCAGUGCUUUUCAAGCCUAUACCGACUUCAGCGAAGCUUCGUAGCUGCCUUGCUGGCUGUUUGAGUGUGACUGGUUGGCUUAGCAUCAGCUGUUGGCCCAGCUCGGCUCAGCUCAGAUUGCUCCAGAUUAGGAGAUGGGGCACUCUGAGAGCAACUAUGAUCCAUAUUAAAGCUGCAUAAAAUGAAAAUUGCAAAGAUUUAGAAGCGGAUCAUAGGCCACAGAGAAUUUAAUCACAACCUGGCAGUGUGUGUAUGUGUGUGUGUGUUUGUGUAUGUGUGUAACACUGCAUAAUACAGAGAGGAUUAUCAAUGUGGGUUGUAUUUACUUAUCAACCCUAGUGUUCAGAGAUGUAUCACAAAUGUUUUAUCAACGCUGCAGUUUUCUCUUCAUCAUGGCUCCCCAAGAGCGCAAUGAUGCAUGAGAGAAGAUUUUUUUAUAAGUUCUGAACUUUGGAGAAAAUAUGACAGAAAAAAAAGGAUUUGCAUUUGUUCUGUGUUGGUGUGUGAGUGGGCAAGAGAAAGUGUGUCUUUAUAUGAGCACAGCCAGGGAUGAUAUUGUUUUAGUGUCCUCAACACUUGUAAUCCCCCUAAAGCUUCAAAUACUGCUACUGUGAAUUCACAGGGUAGUCUAGUAAUAGAGCCGUGCAGAGGUCGUAUUUGUUUGUACUCAUAAUUCAUCUACAAAUAUUGCAGAAAAUAUUGUAGCUUCCCUGUAUUAUUAUUAUUAUUAUUAUUAUUAUUAUUAUUUGACAGUCACAGUUCAUUUACACAUUAAUAUGUGCAAUCAGAUCUGUAAAUUUCAAAUCAUUGGUGUAGAAUUGUUUUAUCUGCUAACUUUGAAUGUUUGCACUAAGACAAAAAAUACUUUAAUAAUUAAAUAGAUAUUCUUAAUGUCUUUCCAUAUGGCUACAUAAAAGUUAAUCUAAGAAAACAAAUCCAAAAAGGAAAUCUAGAAUGAUGAGAACUUUGGCUCUUUACUUAACUAGGAGUAUUGAUUCCUGUAAUUCUUAGUUCUAACAUAGACUCAGUUCCACGGUAUUUAAAAUUUUAAAAUAACAAUCAAUAACCUGUAUGUGGAAUAGAUCUUAUAACAGUGCAGAGGAUAAUGACUUACAACAAUGUGUAUCAGUUGUUAAAUAAAGGUUAAAAAAAAAACUGCCACCUGACAGGUGGGCUAUUAAACUACACGAUUAAAAAUUCUGGUUUGGCCAUCUAUAUUUACCAAUGCAAACGACAUAGCCAAAUGUAAUUUAUAAACCGAAAAGAAUUUAUGUGACGAAAAAUGUCCAAAUAAUAAUCUCAGGGGCACAAGAGUCUUGGCUAUGCAUGUUAGCAUUAAGCGUCAAACUAAAACAAAAUACAUCAGCUACCUUCGACAGUCUCCAACAAGAAACGUCUCCGUCAACUCCGACUGAUAGUGUACUGAUGUUUUGGCACAGUCAUCUUCCUUAUCUACUCCAAUCAGCCAAAGUGAGAACUUUGUCAUCAAUCCAUUUGUUAAAAAUAGUAGUUCAGGGUGCAAGCUCACAGGGCGAGCAGACAUAAAUAUAAGAUAGGAUGUGUUCAGGCACCGGUCAGUAAAAGGAUUGUUCAGUGAAAUUAUUGGCCUUUUGAAUCAGGGCCAAUGAAUAUUUUUAUUUGGACAGAAUUUUUUUUUUAUUUGAAUUUAAUUAAUUUAUUUAUUUUUAUUAAAGGAUUCUGAGACGAGUGUUACAGUAACUACAAUUUUUCAGAAUUUGACUUUUUCUUCAGAGUUCUGACUUUAAUCUCAGGGGGAAAAAUCCAGGUUUUGAAAAAAAAAAGUCCGAGUUUUUAGGGAAAAGGGAGAGAAUUUUGAGAAUUAAGUCAGAACUCUGAGGAAAAGGGACACACCUCAGUAUUUCUUCAGAGACUUAAAUCCUUAUCUAGGCUGUUUUCUGUGACAGUAGCAAUAUUUACACUCACCUGUAAAACACUUAAAACAAAACCAGUACUGUUAAAAAAUGUUGCUGUGGCUCUCCACCAAAUGACAGAAAAGUAUUGAUCAUGGAAUGAUAAGGAUGACAGUUAAAGACCCAAUUGUAAUCUUACACGGUGUCAUUGUUACUUUGAUGUAACAGGUAAAAUAAGGGAAAACAUGCAAAUGUGUGUUUAGAAUAUAUGCAGUUUGAAUUUUGAAUUUACCUCUCAGCAUUGGAUGCAAAAAUCUAACCUUGUUUGAAAGCAUGUUGUGAGUGUUUUUUUCUUUUUCUGUUUUUGUGUUUACAUCUUGCAGCAGCAUGUGUGUGCUCAGCCAUAGGCUACAUGUGCUUGUGAGACCUGACAGAACUCAUGACUUGUGCCCUACAUGUGUUCACCUGUAUCUGCAUCUCCACUUCACACACACACAUACACACAGUGUUUCCUGCAAGAAUAUAAUUUCUCUUCUUCUCUCACUUUCUGUGUCUCUUUCUUUGGUUUUGUGCAGGUUUUUGUUGCAUGUCUCUCUUUCUUCCACCCUCCCUUUUCUUCCAUUCCAUAUUUCCAAAUCCCUCUCCAAGAGCACAUUGUGUGUGCGUGCGUGUGUUUGUGUGUGUGUGUGUGUUUGUGUGUAUGACAGUCACACGCACAGAACACAGACUAAGAUAGAGCAGAUGGUGACCGUAUUCAUUUUUUCCCCGACUAACAUUAACCAUUCAUUAUAGACAGCAGACUAAGCCAAUCCCACAUCCUCCCCCAUGCAACACGUACACACACACACAAGCACACUCGCACACACAUAAUGUCCAAUAAUUUUGCCAUUAGCCUAGUGACGGUCCCAAAAUCUUGCAUGCCCCUCCGUCAGUGUUGAUACUCUCUCCUUCCAGACGGUCCCAGCUCUGCUCUGACUCAAUCUGUUGACAUUUCUGAUUCCGUCCCCAUGACUCAAAAUUUUCUCCUCCUUCACUUUCAGCAGCCCACAACAGGACUGAGGAGCAUCUGACGAGUCCCUCUGCCUCCCCUUCCGUCCAAUCCUACAAUUUUUUUCUUUUUGUCUUUGUUCCUUCCACUUUCACUGUCUGGCUUCUUCUGGCAACUGCCCCAUAAGUAAGAGACACACUCGCUUUUGUUGUCUUCCUUUGUUUCUCUUUCCCACUCAUUCACCGCCUUGCUUCCUUUCUAAUCAAAUAGGAAAAAAAAAAAUAAAACCUGUUAGGCACUAAAUCAGGUUUAAUCUCUGGCUUGAAGAAAAGAUGAACAUUAAUCCACAUCUGUCCAUACAAAUGUUUACCGCUCAUAUUUCAGACCUCAUUAGGCCGCGCUGUUAAGCUGCAUGCCACUAGUUGUGUUCAUGCAGGCUCUAAGACACACAAAAAAAAAUCAUAGAUGCGAAGACUUUAGUGCAUUUCCAAAAAAAUGUGUUUUUUUGUGUUGAAUUCCUCUAGACAUGCACCUUUACUUUGCAUGCCUCCCCUGUAGUAAAAGCAGUCUGAGGAGGUUUUGGCCCUGUGCCCCUCUCUGUGCGCUCCAAAAGGUGCAGGGGUAGAGAACUCUCGCACACUUAGACUAAUGAGAGUUUUAGAUGCAGACGGAGAGCACUGUGAGUUACUGUUCCUCAGCCACCCGCCGGACAUCAAUCGCACCAGGGCCUGAAGGCUUUACUCAGUUCCUGUUGCUUAACUGCACCCAUCAUUGCCCUCCACGCACACUCGCACUCACACUUACACACACACAUUCCUGCAGACCAUCUUGCACAGACACAGUCGAGGCUUUCUGAGGAGUCUAGGAUAUGCUUAAAAUUUGACCGUGUGUAUGAGAACAGAACAUUCAGUUUUAAGCAGCAUUGUCCUCUCUUUUUGUCAACAGUUUUUAGUUUUUGCUGAAAACGUGCAAGAGUAAAACCAGCACAACCAGCCUUGAUUUAAAGUCCUCUGUAAAGUUUUGUUUUCUCCUUAAGGAACAAUGUUUUAACCAAGCAGUUCCCUGUUUUUAUGUUCCAUGCACACAACUGUUUGGCAGCUUUAACUCAUGAAAAAUCAUUAAAUGGAGCAGUGCAGAGUGUAAAGGAAAUAUUGAUGCAUACAAAAUGUGACUUUAAAGCUCCUGUGGGGAGUUUUUUGAUACUUAUGACAUAAACAGAGACUCAUACCAAAAAGUAGACAAGAUCAUAUGACUGAGGGUUUUUAUAUUGUAAUUUGUAAUGCGUGAAACCAAUGAAGGUGGAAGGUGGAAGUCAAGCAGUUAAAGAUACAAUCCUGGUUUUACAAUUAACAUAUAAUAGAUUCACAAUAAAUGAUGCAUUUGUCUGACAAAAGUUGUCAGGAUAAGAUUUUUUCACAGACUGUUUAAGUUUGUAGAGAAAGAAGCAGUGACAGUAUUGUCCUCAGGGGGCGCCAAAAUGAGCACAAACAAAAACUUCCUUAUUAGUGCUUUAAAUAUGCUUAGACUAUUUUCUUUGUUGAUGUAGAUGAAAAUGAAUUCAGUGUGUUUAUUACAGAUGACCAGUUGCAAUCCUUCCUGUUGGCUCAUAGCAAAUGAGAGCAGAGCUCAUUAUUAAAGAUAGAAACUGCACCUUUGAAUUUCUGUGUAACUUUAAGUAACAAAUCUUGAAUCCCAUGAAAGUAAUUGCAGUGUUGAGUUGAUGUAAUUGAGUCUACAGUGUAAUUCUGAUGCACUAGAUUUUACAAACUUUACUAAUUUUGGUCAAAAUAGUCAGAACUGUGGUUACUUUACUGCACUUAGACCAUAUAUUAUAGUGUUUUGACACCUCAUAUCUGCCUUUUAGAGCCUUGCCUUUUGUGAACUUAUAUAUUCCAGUGUUUAUGUCAAAAGUUAAAUUCAUAUGUAUGCCUUUUCACGAUAUACAAAAGUCAACAAGAACGUGAGAAACAUGGUUAAUGACUUUUAGUUUUUAAUGCCUGAAAUCUCUGUAAGAGGGUAAAUGUCAGACAAACAGCCAAAGAGCCAGUCCUGCUUUUAAAUCAUAUACCAUGUUCGCAAUGAAUGAUAAAUUUAAUAAAGUCAACUGGAUGACAUUUUCUGUCUGAAUUCACUUCUGGAGCAUGUAGAGGACAAGAUAAAUAAAGAAAACUUUAUCCACAGAGGGAUAGGCCAAAAUUGACACAAGCUGAAAGUUCUUCACAGGAGCUUUAAAUGAGUGUCUCGGUCAGUACACUCACAUGUUCAUCUCUCUUAUUAGUUUAAAAGACUAAGCUUAACAAUACAUCUUCAAAUGCCAGCCCAAAAAAGCUACUGGAAAUCAGUAAUAUAUGACUCACAGGUGAUAAUAUAUGUAGAACAAAAACAGGAGGCUUGAGAUGGUCUCAGUUUGCAUUGAGCCAGAGCACUCUGGUGCCUGUUUGGUUUGGCCACUUCCAUGUGCCAGUUAUUAAAACACAUUAAAAUCAAAUCUCUGCAGUCCUUUGUCCUGUUUGAUAAUGUUGAAACUCAAAUCUUAGUGAGUGUAUUUCUCUCAUUUGUAGUAAAAAAAAAUCACAUUAUACUGAAUAUAAGCAACAUUCACAUUAUAAGUCUUAAUUUGAGAUUGAACUGCUGGCAGUGUAAGUAAAAUUUGCUUAUUAAGUUUAUUGAAAUAAGACUUUACAUUUCUUGCAUUAUUUAAGAAACUUCUCCUGUAACAUUUUCCUUUUUUUUAAACCCUGAAAAGGAAUUUUAUUUGUAAUAUCUUGCAAUUACAUGUUUUUUCUGGACUUGUCACCGGAUGAUGACUGAAAUUUUAGACAGAAAAAACCCAAUACAAACAUACCUGCUGAGUGAUGAGUUUAUUCAGUGUAAAGACACAUACGUAAUGCACAACAAUGGGAUUGUGUUGUAUUACAUUUUGCAUCUAUUACUCCCUAUCUCAUAAAUGAUAAUAUUCUUUCCAGUGUGACAAGUUGGCUGUGCUGAGAAGUAUCAAAGCAUAUGAAUUAAAAGCUUAAUUUCACAUCGUAUAUUACACUUUGUAUAUUACACACAAAGUCUAUGAGGUCUUACUUUAAUUUGUUAAUUGGUGAAGUUGAAGUCAGUUCAUUUUUAGAAAGUCACGGUCCUUUCUAUUGGCUUAGAAACAUCAUGAUAUCAUGUUUUUAUCUUGCCUUGAAUAACACCUUAAAUAUCAGGUCACUCUGGAUUCAGCUGGAGCUUUAUCCACUUUUUCGUGCAGUUUUCACAAAGUACAACCCCUCCCCCCAAAAAAACACUGUAAAGACACACCACAUUAGCACAACCCCUGUCUAUCCUUUUGUCCCCUCACCGUCCCGCUCCUCUCCUGUCAGUCACCUCUGUGCCCUAAAACUGUCCUAAAUGACUUAAUCUACAAGCCGACGGUACUGCACAGAGGCUGCUGAGCAAGGCCGCUCUGUGUAAGGGGAUUGCUGUAAUUACUGGGAUCUGUGCACCGUAUUUAUCUUUUCAAGGGACGGGUGAUCCUGCCAUAAAAAGCCCAACAUUUGGCAGUUAACUAAUGCACACCAUUAGAUUGAUUGUGCUGGAUUUGUGUUUGUGUGUGUGUGUGUCUGUGUCUGUCUGUGUGUGUGUGUGUCCCAUAUUCCCUGCUGCUGUCAUGCUCUGUAAUGUGUGUUAAAUAAUGCUUGCUUGUUCUCUGUAAUCCUGAUUAAAUGGGGGUUAAUGUGUAUCUGUUAUACUUUUUCACAGACUCUCCAGCCGUGACCUUCUACCGCUAAAGGGUUGGCACAAAUGAGCCGGUUCAUGAGACACCAUUAGACUGUGAGGGAGACCGAGGAAGACAAGGCAGAGGUACAAGCUUCAGGUGGCAUCAGUGUCUCGUCUGUAUUUUUCUGUCUCUGUUUUUCUAUCAUGUGGGAGAUAGAAGACAAAAGACGGAUAUUUGUUGCAAAAUAAUUAAAAACCAUUGUCUGAUAAGCUCUUUUCUUAAACAUAAACCUCAGCAGCUUUAAAAAUCUGACAUUAGGAGUACAAUAAGAGGAAGAAAUAAUGAAAGAAAAUGAAAUUAUCACUCUUCUUGGAUGUGGCAGAGAAACAAACAGAUUGACCACGCUCUUCUUUCCAAAAAUCCUCCCCCGUGCAGGCAACAUGUUCCUCACGUCCAUCUUGGCUGUUUUUUCAGAUAUUUGGUGUCAGUGUGUGUGUGUGUGCGCCUUGUCUCUGUGUGUGUGUACGUGUAAACGUGUGCAUGGGCUUUUUCGUGUGUGUGUGUGUGUGUGUUCGGGUUGUGAAGACGGAGGCUGCACCAGGCUGUCCAGCCUACACACAAACCGUCCCGUCGUUAAAUCACCUUACUGUUCCAUCCAACAUCCACUGCCCUGAGCAUGUUUUUCAUUUGAUGUGUGUUUUGGUUGAAAUGAAAGACACACGGGGAGAGGAGAGUGGAGAAAUAAAAAUGCACGGGGAUCGAGAGAGGAUGUAUCAACAUUGGAUGUCAAAGUAACUUCAGACUCUGCUCUCUUUGCAUUUAUAAAACUAACUUUUCAAACUCCUUCGCACACACACACACACACACACACACACACACACACACACACACACACACACACUCUCUCUCUCUCUCUCUCUCUCUCUUUCAUUUGAUCUCACUACUCUGCCCCCUUUCUCCCACUUGUUCCUUAUUAAUUUUUAUGUUUCUGACCUCGGAAACGGGCAUGAGUACACAGAUAUAUUAUAGUAAUUAUCUAAUUUUACAGUGCCAUUAAAUGUCACAGAUAUCCAGAGUUAUGGUAUUAAUUCAAUAAAAAGGGUUUGGGCUGGAGGGAUGAUAACUUAAUACUAGACUAGUCGGAAAUAAACUGUGGAUAUUUGCCACUUUUCAUUUUUCAGCAAAUCAGUAUCCUUGCAGUUAAUUUGACAGUGCCUGCAUGCGAGAUAAAACUAUGAAUACUGUAUAAAAAUGAAGGAAAAGAGUAGAACUUGUUAGUUUGUCUAAUUCAAAUAUGUGCUUGUUAAACCUGUUUUAUAUUUAGCCGAAUUUUCCAAGCUCAAUUAUAUCCCAAAAUAUACAUUUCACAUCUUCGUUUCUGUUUUCAGACAACCCUGUUUUCCACCAGAAUUCAGAUUUACAACAUUUUAUAUUUAGAUUCUCCUCAUUUUCCCCGGAUCCUGGCCGGCAGUAGUGUUAUUUACUGUGGCUCUGACUGAGGCACAUUUGGGAGCAGUUCAAAUUCAAAGCUGUGCCAAUCUACUCCUUCCUCUUUUUUGUUUUUGUCUUUUUUUAUAAUUAUUUAUCACCCCCUCUUCAUUGCCCUCUAUUUUCUCUUCUUAUCUCUCUGCUCGUUUCUCUCUUACCUGUGUCCCAGUAGAUGGAGAUGUGAAAUAUUUAAACACACUUUGUUGUUUGGGGACAAUGCACUUCAGCAGAUGGGCCAUCGCCGCACAGACCCCAAUGUAUGCAAAUCUCCAUACAAAGCAGCCCAGGAUGUUUUCAAUAUAACACAAGUGCCUCAGGCCCUGUUUUAAUCCCUCUUUACCCGCAGCCAAUGCACUGUUUCAUCCAGUCAAACGCCUUAAGCGCUAUGUCAACUUGGACAUCUGGCCACAUAACUGAACCCAAAAAAAAUGUGCAUGUGUGUGAGGAAAGGAGCAUGUUUAUGGAGGGUUAGAUGCGGGGAUAAAGGUGAUAAAGUGCAUGCUGUGGGACGGAGAUAUCUGGAGAUGAAAUGAUCAGUGGUUUCAUUAUGAGUACAUCAAUAAAGAAGGAGAUGUGUCCUUCCUGAGGUGAAUUCUUCGGCCUCCUCACCGAGGGGAAACAGGUGCCACUGUUACUUUCUUCAUUGUCUCUUAACUUGUUUUGCUGUUUUCUCGCUUUUUUUCUCACCCCCACCCUCUAGGAAUAAGCAACCUAAAGUACACACCUAUACACAUGCACACGAAUGCGGCGCGUGUGCACACACACACAUGCACCCUGCCUGAAGACUUUCUGGUCAGAGGACUGAUUUCUAUCGUGGUGACAUCUGAAGGGUGCUACAGCACAGCCAGACACCUGGAUACACAUGGCAUCCUUCACUACUCUGUGUCAAAGUCCACGUGUGUGUACGUGCACGCGUGCCUAUGUGUGUGUGGGUAUAUGUGCACGCUAGGUGUCCGUUAGGUUUGGAGGGGGGGGAAGGUGCCACAGAAGGCAGCAAGUAUCUCCCGAGGGUAACUCAUCAGCUUUUCCUGGAUGGAGCAGGAGUUCAGACGCUUGUGGCGAUGUUGAGUGUCCUCAUUGACCUACAUGAUACAGAAUAAACAUGUGUGUGUGCAUGCAAACAUACAUGUGUAUACUGCGAGAUUCAUGCUUUCACCUGGGAGAAUGAGUCCAAUUUAAUUAAGGAGGCCUUUUAAAUGCAGACAAGGAUGGGACGGAUUAGUAUCAAAUUAGACUUCCUAUGAAUUCACAGGUAACUGGGGUUAUCAAGGUGAGUCACAUGAGCAAAAUUCAUGAGUUUAUUUUUAUUGGACUUAGUAGUGUCACAAAACCUGGGAAAAAUUGAACAUUAAAGGGGAUUUUUAAGCAAUUUUUCUUAUUAUUGUUCAAAAAUCAAGAUGGUUUAUCUCCAAAAACAGUACAUUUACAACAAAAGCACAAAAUCCUGAACAAAACAAAAAUAAAAAUCAGCUUGCAGAAAAGAAAAUCAAUGCAUUGCCUUUGAUACUUUUAAUUAGACUUUAAUUCGACAAAUCUAGAUGGGAAAGAUGAUUUCAAGAAGACAUUAAAUUUUGUAUAUCUCAAUUUAAUUUGCCUUAUGUUUUCAUGUAAAGAAUAUAAAUCUGCUCAUUGAUGCAUAUGGAAGAAGUUAGAGAUUUCAGUUUUCUAAUAAAGCAAUCUAAAAGUAGACAAAGCAAAGUCUGUUGCUUGAAUGACAAAGGAUAUCGAUGGAAAACAUGGUCUAAAGACUAUUUCACUCGGAUAUUCACUAUCUCUGCUGAUUUUCAUCAAAUUGUAAAAAUGUGUUCAAGUUACGAGUAGCUGCUCUGUAUCGCAGCUCUGUGAGCAUAUUCCUUUUGCACUGUGUUUGUAGCUGGCAUGAGAGAGACUGCCUGCAGCUUGUGUGAUGGUCUGUGGAUAUGUGUGGAUGUGUGGAGAGGGGGGGCGAGCUUGUGUGUGCAUGUGUACUUAAACCUCAGGCCAUAGAACUGUGUGUGCCUCAUUACGUGUAUGUGUUUGCACCAGUGUUAGUGUGUGUUUGCAUGCGUGUGUGUAUGCGUGUGUGUGUGUUGGGGGGGUGAAAACAGUGUAGGUGAGUGCAGAAGACAAACCUGUCAGUUUCACAGCUGGUUUCUCUGGCUGCAGGGCUCAGGCCGGAGCAGGGUGACACUCGGCAUCACAGCACCGCAGCACAGGGCCCGGGGUGAACACACCAUCAUAUACUGUAGGCAGACGCACACUCACACUCGCACACACACAUACCUUGUUUGGCUGCCCUCAACUGAAGGACCAAGAGACCAGUGAAACACACCACCUGGGCAAGUCAUCAUAUCUUGUCAAAGAUUUUUUUCUGGUCUUUUUGGCUAGAUGGAGGUGUGAACAACAUCACAGAGCAGAUUGCCUGGCAAUGGACUGACCAUCAUGUUGUAAGGAAAGGAUGGGGGGGAGGUUGAGAGGAACACAGAGUGAGAGAAAUAACAAGAGAAAAGUAUAAUGUAAGAGGAGAAUGGCUUUCUUUUUAAUCGCUGGGCUGGAGUUGGCUUGUCUCCCCGCAUCAUGAGCCACAGUGACUUGAUCAGGACUAUCAUGGCCGCUCUCCACGCAUUAUUGAUGAUAGAAGUUGAUGUGGACGAUUAGCUUGGACGGUCCCUUUCUUGCGUCAAGAGACGGUGGCGUUCUUAUCUGUCCUUUGGUCUCAUUUUGGGACCGGCUUCAUGGUGUGUUCCCGAGCGGAGUGGACUCUGUGGGGAAAAGAGCCUCAGGCAAUACCCCCCACCCCCCAACCCUCCACCCCCUUUCCUCUUCUCCACCUCCCAGUCAAAGCCCCCCUUAUCCACCACCAUCCCUGCACAUUUCCAUCUCCACAAAGAUGGAAGUGAUGGCAAUUUUCUUCAGGGUAUUUAGAGGAUGUUGGCCCUUUUUUUUUUUUAAAAGAUCUCAUAACAGUUUACAAGCAAAAAGGCAUAAAUCUCAAACAAAAAGGGGCAAUUAGGAGACAUUUCAUCCUCAAUGAGCAUGUUACAGGGGUAAUUAUUAUUCUGGAGGGCAACAGAACGUAGGUAUGCCCAAAAAACAAACAGCCACCUUUAGAAUUCUGUAGACAUUUCGGGGAGAAAGACCCUAAGUGUUGUCAAUUAUAAAAAUAAAGGCGGCAUGUUGACAGGAGCAAUGAAACUGUUGUUAUGACUGCUGCUGUCAAGGGAGGUUCCCCAUGUCUAAAGUUUACACAGCAAAUGAUUCUGCCUCAGUGAUUCUGCCCUGGAUAUGUGAGUGUGUGUGUGUCUGUCUGAGCGUGUGUGCACUCAGCGAUCAACUUCUGCUAAAUACUAAUUACUGAAUACUUAGUACGGAUGCCCUUUCUAUUGGGUCCCUUUAGUAUAAACAUUCAUUAUAGCUCGUUUUCUCCUUUGUAGCUCCAUCAUCAUUAUUCCACCGCAUCCCCCGAGGAGUGAGACAGAGCCGAGACCGAGGCCGGACCGGGCUGAGGGGAGAAAACAGUGUAGAACCAGAGCGCCAGGACCUGGGAAUGCACAGAAGUGAUAUUUGUGCGCAGCAGAUCAAAAAGCGUUUACCUUUAGAUGUUUCCCUGAUAUGAAUAUUCAACAUCCUUAUUGAAAUCUAAUUUGGGUCUCCUUGUCUCAGGGGUCUUUUCAUCAGUGCCUGUUGCCUGAGGCCACAGCUGAUUGACAGCCAAACUUUAGUAAAGAGCAAGCAGGAAAAAAGGGGAGAUCUGGUGGUGUUGGAGAUGUGAGCGGUGUGAAGCUGGGCAGAGCUGGAGCAGAUGAGUGGAGCGGUGCUU